GGAGUAGUAUGGCUGACAGGGCAUCCUUCUUUAAGACUUCCUGUUAUCUUGUCAUGCGACUGCCAUCCAACCUUCCUUGAAACUCUCUGAUUGUUUGGUUGAGUUUGGAGGGACAGCGGUGGGAGACCGGACCACUGCAGUAUUGUAUGUGGAGAAUAUCAGCGCAGGGCCUGAGGCUGCAGCCCGGCUCUUCACCUUCUCUGUUCCGGAAAACUCUGACAUCACCAUCACACCUACUUCAGGAAGAGUUCUACCUGGACAGAAGUGUCUGGUCCAGGUUACAUUCAGCCCAACACUGUCUGAUGACGUCAUCAACACAGAAGCUCUACACUGGAGAGAGGAAUUUCAUACUGACACCAGCAACUGCCAACAUACAGAACCUGAUGCCAAAAGCAAAAUAGAGGCCCCAUUGCUUUUGGUAA
rnacentral:lncRNA from 1 species